UACGUAGGGUCCGAGCGUUGUCCGGAAUUAUUGGGCGUAAAGGGCUCGUAGGCGGUCUGUUGCGUCGGGAGUGAAAACUUACAGCUUAACUGUGAGCGUGCUUCCGAUACGGGCAGACUUGAGGUAUUCAGGGGAGAACGGAAUUCCUGGUGUAGCGGUGAAAUGCGCAGAUAUCAGGAGGAACACCGGUGGCGAAGGCGGUUCUCUGGGAAUAUCCUGACGCUGAGACGCGAAAGCGUGGGGAGCAAACAGG
rnacentral:rRNA from 1 species